rnacentral:rRNA from 1 species
GAUGAACGCUGACAGAAUGCUUAACACAUGCAAGUCUUUGGCGAAUCUGUGCUUGCACAGGCUAGCCAAGGCGGACGGGUGAGUAACGCGUAAAGAACUUGCCCUGCAGACAGGGAUAACAGACGGAAACGACUGAUAACACCUGAUACAGUUGCCGGCACGCAUGUGCCUGGCAAUGAAAAGAGAUGCUGCAGGAGAGCUUUGCGUCCUAUUAGCUUGUUGGUGAGGUGACGGCUCACCAAGGCGAUGAUAGGUAGCCGGCCUGAGAGGGUGAACGGCCACAAGGGGACUGAGAUACGGCCCUUACUCCUACGGGAGGCAGCAGUGGGGAAUAUUGGACAAUGGGGGCAACCCUGAUCCAGCAAUUCUGUGUGCACGAAGAAGGUUUUCGGAUUGUAAAGUGCUUUCGGCAGGGAAGAAGAAAGUGACGGUACCUGCAGAAGAAGCGACGGCUAAAUACGUG